rnacentral:rRNA from 1 species
AUGGCGGCGCCCAAGCUCAAGGUGCCAGGCCUGUGCCUGCUGCUGCUGAUCAUGCCACUCCUCUUGCUCCCUGGAUGUCAAGGGGCGACUUGCAGGGAGCCGAGCAAGACCUAUACUGCUCCCAACUGCGCGACCGGCCGAUGCGUGGAGCACUGCCAAAUGGAGGGCUUCCGCGGCGGGGUGUGCGAGGGGAACUACUUCGACCCCUACAAGAUAGUCUGCUUCUGCAACAAAAACUGCUGA